rnacentral:rRNA from 1 species
GACGAACGCUGGCGGCGUGCUUAACACAUGCAAGUCGAACGAUGAAGAAGAGAAACGCGAACUUCGGUUCAAAUUUCACUUCGGAGUAGUGGCAGACGGGUGAGUAACGCGUGAGCAACCUACCUCUUACAAAGGGAUAGCCUCGGGAAACCGUGAUUAAUACCAUAUGACACAUUCAUAAGGCAUCUUAAGAAUGUUAAAGCUACGGCGGUAAGAGAUGGGCUCGCGUCCCAUUAGCUAGUUGGUGAGGUAACGGCCCACCAAGGCGACGAUGGGUAACCGGCCUGGGAGGGUGAACGGUCACAUUGGCACUGAGACACGGUCCAAACUCCUACGGGAGGCAGCAGUGGGGAAUAUUGCACAAUGGAGGGAACUCUGAUGCAGCGACGCCGCGUGAGCGAUGAAGGAAUUCGUUUCGUAAAGCUCUGUUCUAUGGGAAGAAAAGGACUGUACCAUAGGAGAAAGCCCCGGCUAAAUACGUG